GCCGGACUCAGACGCCUCUCCCCUGGCAUCGCUCCUCGGGGAGGAGACGGAUCCUAACACCCGGGACACUCCAAGGAAAGGAGGGUAAGGCAGAGAGCGAAGAUCUCCUGGCUCGGGAGCCGGGUUUGCGCAAUAAAUACCGUCUGUGCGGUUACAAUUCCCAGGCUGUUUGUUUGUGCUCGAUUUGGCCCUUCUGCCCUGGGCACCGAUUGCGCUUGUUGUGUGCUGGGCUCCGGUGAAGGACAGGGAUACCCCGUGCGGAGCGACACACUGGCCAGCCAGGGACUCGCGAACCCGGAGGGACAUUCGGAGCGAGGUGCAGAGGAUGGCCGGUGGAGGAGGCGUGUGUCCAUGUGAACACACUGGGAAAGGGGCUGCUCCUUUCCAGGCAGCCGAUCCCCCGCUUGGGGCAUUGUCCUGUGCACACAAAAAGGGGGGAAAUGUUGCUCUGUCCGUGGCGGGGCUGCCGUGUGAGGGGUUUGUUGCUGCCUGCCGGCUGGCGGCUCUCCUGGGGGUCCCGGGGUCCCUCUUUCGCCGGCUGGGGUGGGGAGAACAAGGGGAGAGCGGCGCUGCUGGAGAUUUUGUUAAAGGGGAUUUUUUAAAACAGGACUUCCCUGGAUUUAAAGCGCCAGAAGAUGGAGACGCCUCCCGGGCGUGAAACCGACAAGAACCGACCUGUGUCCUAAAGCUGCCGGGUGUGUGUCUUGUCAAUUGCAGUCAGCGGGAGCGGGAAGGGGGCUAUUUAAUUCCUGGGAUUUAAGAUCAACACGAUCUUUGUCCCUCCCUUAAGGGAAACGCCAGCCGCCCUGGCUGAGGUUCCCUCUCUGCUUUCCAGCAGCCUGGACAGGUUCUUUUAAACUCAUGGAGGUAAAUGGAGUUAACUGCAGCUUCCUCGGGGCAGGGGUUCCCCCGCUCCCCUUCUCUCAGAAAUCCUUACCCCGAGCAGCGAGACGCACCUCUCAAUUUGGAGGGGGGGGGGAGACAGUCGCAGAAAGCUGCUCCUGCUCUCGGGGGUUUAGGGGAGGCUGUUCUCGGAAAGGAGCCUGGCUCCAUGGUUCCCCCGACCUUUCACCUUCUCAAGGACAGAAUGAUGGGGGGGAAUCUCCCUGGUUGGGGUGAGUCAAGGCCAGAAUCACACAGCUUCCCCGGGACUGGGUUCAGCCGUGGACCAGAUUUAAAUGGCUGGUAUCCCAGCAGUGCCCCUGCCCCUCCACUAACCCACACACCUCUCCCAUGUACUCAGGGGCAUCAACAGGCAAAGAAACUCUCUCUCUUUCUGGGGGCUCGUCUUCACAGGGCCAUCUGGGAAAAUUAAUCCAAAUUAAGGCCCAUGUGAAGUGGAUUAAACAAUACCCAGUUAAGGCCACUUUAAUUCUGCAUAACAGCAUCCUCACAGGGAUUUAAGGUGGUUUCACUAAAUGCCCUCAACUUCACACCUUUAGUGAAUUCGGAUUAGAUGGCCCCCAUGUAGACAAGCCAUCCAUAAAUACACUCAUUGCUGCAGCCACACAUAUGCAUUCACAGCCGCCCACCCUCUGAAAUGCACAUGCAAAUUCACACUCAAACACACGCACACACAGAUUCCCAGCCACUCAUCCGUACACACUCACACCUGCAAACACAUCCACACAUGUACCAUCAUCUUGACCAGCCAUACAAAAAAUGAUUGGUGGGUCCCUGCCCCCGCCCCCUUUAACUAACAGGGGGUUUGAGCAUGUUUCAGUGGAAAGCUUUUAACAAAAACCCCUGUUCUUUUGUCUGUCUGCAUCAGUCUCUCUUACCCUGUGACUUUUAUUUAUAGGACUCUUCCAAGAAAGGGAAAGAAGAAGCUAAAAGACAGAAAAACAGCAUUGGACUUAAACAUAAGGGGUGAAAUCCUGGCCCCCUAGAAGCAAAAUUCCCAUUGUCUUCAAUGGAGCCAGGAGUUUACCCAGCAGUGGGUGAAAAUGAGCAAGCGCCCACUGCCAUUAGACAUAGUUCAUGGCAGGGUACAGCCUGCUGACCAAAUGAUGGAGCGCAGAAAGGGCCUGAUUCGCCAAACACUGGUACAGCCAAGAGUGCAAAAACACCAAGCCCCAGUCUGAUCUGCUGGCAUUAGGUACAUACAUUGAGUCAGUGUCAGGGACUGUGCCAGGGGCAGGCCAAUGGUGACUCACUGCCCCAUUAGGGCUUUAUUUACUUAGUGGUGUUUCUGACCCAAAAGCCCCUGCAAAGGCUCCCAGGAAUGAGGUUUGGAUCAGGCCUUGAUGAGAGUCAUUAAGGAAUGCGGCAAUUCUGUAAGUGACUUCACUGGUACCCCUUUGGAAUGCAAAGUGCAGGUUUUUAAGGUUGUGAUUUUGAUUUUCCUCUAGAAAAAUAAAUGCCUCUUCCGACCCUCCACCCCCGUUUAGCAGGUGACCAUCUUCAGAUCCCAGGCAAGGCAGAGCUGAGUGCUACCUGUCUCCCUGCAUUUUACAGGCUAUCUUUAAUCCUGCUGCUGGUUUCUUGAGAACUGCAUUUCUUUCCUGUCAUUCAGUAGUUCCAGCCACCCAAGCUCCUAUAUUGCCUUUGAAGUAGAGAUAAAAUCUAAUGGACCUCACUUGCGUGUGUGUAGGCCCCAGCCAAUUUAAAUUGCUAAGAGACCUCACAGGAAUAUUUUUAUCCCACUGCUAAGGAAAUUCAUUAUAAUAAAGCAGCCAGGCAGGUGCCAGGCUAGCUCCAGCCUUAGAGAUGGAGUGGCAGCUCAUUAUAAGCCUUAACAGGCACUUUUCUGAUAUAGGGCUAAUUUGAUGGAAGGCCAUUAGGAAAGUACCCCUAGGUAAGGUCACUCAUUCUUGACCUCCAGGAGAGGGGGCCAAAGGGCUGCUGCCAGCCAGUCCUGCUCAAGCUGUAGAAAGAUCAUAAUGUGAUUGAUCAGCCCGUCCAUUUUUUCAUAGCUAAACUGAUGGCCCAAGGCAACACCAGCGAACUAUUCCCCUUGAGCUAUUCAGCGCUUGGCUGAAGCAGGUACAGCAUCCUCAGGACACUGAGCCAUCGCCCAUUGAAGUCAGUGGGAGUCUGCAUAUGAUGUCAAUCGCCAUUGGAUUAGGCCCCACACUAGACCCCUGAAGGCUUUAAUAAGGGUUUAUUUUUUCGAAAUAGAAAUGGUUGUGCUUUUUUAAAUUGGAACUUCCUCUCCUGCCCCGUAUCCCAAAUUGGGCUGCAGUUCUGGUAUGGAGAAGACCCUGCAUUUUUCCACACAUACAAAAAAAAAAAAAAAUCAAUUGGACAUUGGUGAUCAACUCAACAGAAACAGGACCGCGUUGCUCAGCCAUGGGCUGAGAGGAUGGGGAAGGCGGGUUACUUGUCAGUGUUAAGUAAUGAACAAUGACACAUUCAAAUCUUUCCAAAGAACAGAUUUUCUGUUUAGAAAGACCGUCAUUGUGGGCUGAUAAACAGGCAGACACACAAACCAUAUAAUGGCUUAAGGGGCAUUCUCCAAAGCCCACUCAGGUCAAAGGGAGUCUUCCAUUCCUGCUCCAUUCCUCUGGUGCUCAGCUUUCUCAUCUUUCCUUAGGGUGUAUCGCUCCUUUCCUCUCUUUUACCAGGCUCCAGCACAGAGUUUUCCUACAGGUUCUUAAUUGAUGAAGGAAG